rnacentral:lncRNA from 1 species
GGAAGUGUGACUUUGGACUCCACAUGCUCCGGGGAGGACGUGAAUUACUUGGUGGUUUAGUUUUCCAAGUGGAGACUGUUGUAAUGAAUUUAAGCAUUUCAUGAUCUGAGAUGAUAUAAAGCCGAAAAGGUUAAUACUUGCAGCCCGUUUAAAAGGAUUUUACUGCAUCCAGCUUCACCUAUUUUUUCCAAACCAUUGUACUUUGUAUUAUCUUUU